rnacentral:lncRNA from 1 species
ACCGCCAGGGGGCGCUGUGUCCCUAUGGGGUCACUGUGUCCCUAUGGGGUCUCUGUGUUUCUAUGGGGUCAUUGUGUCCCUCUGGGGUCACUGUAUUCCUAUGGGGUCACCGUAUGUCUAUGGCGUCUCUGUGUCCCUAUGGGGUCUCUGUGUCCCUAUGGGGUCACUGUAUUCCUAUGGGGUCACCGUAUUUCUAUGGUGUCUCUGUGUCCCUAUGGGGUCACUGUAUGUCUAUGGGGCCAUUGUGUCCCUAUGGGGUCGCCGCGUGGCUGCAAUGCCGCCGUGUGGCCACCCGGGGGCGCUGUUCUAUGGUGUCUCUGUGUCCCUAUGGGGUCACUGUAUCUUUAUGGGGUCACUGUAUUUCUAUGGGGUCACUGUAUUCCUAUGGGGUCACUGUAUGUCUAUGGGGCCAUUGUGUCCCUAUGGGGUCACCGCGUGGCUGCAAUGCCGCCGUGUGGCCACCCGGGGGCGCUGUUCUAUGGGGUCUCUGUGUCCCUAUGUGAUCCCUGUAUGUUUAUGGGGUCACUGUAUUUGUAUGGGACCAUUGUGUCCCUAUGGGGUCGCCGCGUGGCUGCAAUGCCGCCGUGUGGCCACGCGGGGGCGCUGUUCUAUGGUGUCUCUGUGAUCCUAUGGGGUCACUGUAUCUUUAUGGGUUCACUGUAUGUCUAUGGGGCCAUUGUGUCCCUAUGGGGUCGCCGCGUGGCUGCAAUGCCGCCGUGUGGCCACGCGGGGGCGCUGUUGUAUGGGGUCACUGUAUUUCUAUGGGGUCACCGCACUGCUGCAAUGCCGCCGUGUGGCCACGCGGGGGCGCUGUUGUAUGGGGCCGUUGUGCCGCGGUGUUUUUGUAGGGUCGCCGUGUUGACAAUGGGCGGCGCCGCGGUUGUGUGGGGCGGCUGUGGGUCUGUGGGGCCGCUGUGGGUCUGUGGGGCCGCUGUGUGUCUGUGGGGCCGCUGCGGUGUUCCUAUGGGGCCGCGGUGGUGUUUUUAUAGGGCCGCCGCCGCCGCUGCCGCUUUUGGGCUGAAAAGAG